AAGUUUUUGGUGCUGUAAUCGACAUUCGACUAUUUAUAACGAUCUCGAGGACAUUAACAAUCUGCCGCCAACCACAAUUUAUUUGUGUGAUGAUAACAGACAAAUGAUAACAGUAAACUGUAAACUAAGUUCCCUACACAGUAGUACAGUACUGCAGAACGUGACAUAAAAAUUUGCUGAGCAAAUACUUCAAAUGAUAUGUAAAGCUUUGCCAAUGUCGACAACGAUGCUGCUCUCUGUAAAAUAAUCAUCAAUUGUUGUUUCACCAAUUCCAACGACAAUCUGGUUACUCAAGUUCCACUGUGCUGAUGUAUAUCUGUGUUUGCCAGACAAGAAUCCAACUAACAAUGACUUAUGUACUUACCUGCAAGGCGGAAUUGUGUUCUUGUUUUUUUUUUUGCCAUCUAAAGACCAUCUACAUUGAAGCCGCAUGAAAAUACUAAUUGUCAAUUUGAAGAUUGAAGUAAAUUUGAAAAUUGAAGGCCUGAAGACUUGUUGUUUUGGAUUUAAACUUGCUUUAAAAAAGGAAAAGAAAAAACACCUAAUUACUAAGAGGUCAAGACAAUCGUGUUGACCACCAUCAAUAAACUGAAGAUGUUACAGCAUCGAGAAAUCAAGCAAGUGAUGCGUAGUGUUGGUAAGAUAUUCAGGAACAGUGCAGAGUUAUUAAUACCAUUAUUGGGGCAAUUAGAGUCUAUUCUAAAACUCGAGGGAGGGACAACUCUGUCAACUGUAUACCUUAAAAAGUACUUAAACACUGACGGUUGAAUACCAAUCAUAGUUUUUUGUAAUGGUACAACAGACAAGCAUAUAAUAACCCGAUUACAAUUUGAUAAAAAAAAAAAUUUUGCAUAUCACUUAUAGUGAUUACAACGAUAAUUAUUUCAAUUAAAAACUUCUUGACAUAACAGAAUCUCAUCCAAAAAACAGGAGAAUGCUAAAUUUAAUGGAAACUCAUGAUCUAAUUUGUUUAGUAAACCAUAAAAUCCAUAGUCACGACCCAAUAGCCGAUGUUACUAUUAUCAAAUGCAUAUUUAACUACAUUAUAAAGGAUAUGGGACCAAUACAAUUAGAUAAACUAUGUAAGACGAAUCUAAAUUAAAAUAUAUGUUCUAAUUAAAGAAUUUAAGUUAAAUAGUUUAGACUAUACCUAUAACUGGGAGCCAGAGGGUUCAAUGAGAUUCUUCACAUUUGAAUAGACAUGCUUUAGUUAGAAAAUUAAACUUUAAAAAACAAUAAAAGUAAACUAAAUAAAUAACAAUAAAAUUAAACUUUAAAUAACAAUAAUUAUUUAUUUAACACGUUGACGAUGUAGGGAGUCACUGGUGACACCCAAAUAGUUUUUUUUUCUAAACGGUGGGUGUCACCGGUGACUCCCAUAUAAUUUGUCACUUCAGUCAACUUCCCAAUUUGAAAAUGCAAUUAUAUUGUAAGUUAAGGUAUUUUUCCAUUCCAUUAUUUGUAGACGAGGGUGUCACCGGUGACACCCGCAAAUAUUAUUACAGAAAUGUGUUCACCUCAGUCAGACAAAUCGACUGAUACCAAAAUUGUCUACUAGGUGUCGCUACAAGUGGAUUUUUUACCAUUUUAAUUUUAUAAACAGUAUGAACAGAACAGCAAAAACGGCGCUCGUCGCCAACGUGUUAAAUGAUAAUUUAAAUAAAUAGAGCGGCAUAUGUAUCAGACCAAUAGAUUACAAGAUAGAUAUGCAAAUAUGUAAUAAUGUAUAUAUAUAUAU